CUGGAGGAGACGCAGUAGGUGGUGGUAACUGGUCUUCUGUCCACUGGGUACACUGGGUCCUUGUUGGUGACUCCCAUAUCCGCUACAUCUUGGGCUCCUUCCUCACCCGCUUCAGAAGUCCUGGACUCAUGUACCGUGUGAGAGAUACUGAUGAAUGGCACGGCACAGCUCUGCUAGAGAAGACAGUGCGGCUUUCCGUUAUACAUCGAAGAAUUCAAGUGUUUAACCAGGAUCUCAACUUCCAGAUGACCUAUAUCUGGGACCCGUACCUGAGAGUGCUUCCGGGGGAGAUGGCGGUGUGGGAGAGCCGUCCCCAAGACACUCCUAGCCUACUCAUCUUUGGUGGCGCCUUACACUGGAUGGUGAAGACACAGAAACUCUAUGCCAAGAAUGGAACAGAGGCAGCGGCGGCCAAGUACAGAUAGCAUAUGAAGAGCUUAAGGCCACACCUGACACGACUCUCAGCAGAACAACCGUCGUUUUCAAGCUGCUCAACGACCUCAAGAAAACCUAUGUAAUCAACUCUACGGAAGCGGUCAAAAGCUUCAGGAACUAUGUCCUGUACAACAAGUUGUCAGGGACGGGCGUGAACAUCUGGGACAGCACGAGGCCUCUCUCCACCGACUACGCCCACCACUGUAUCAAGAACCCCGAAAUGCAAACCCCUCCAUACUUCUACUGGAAGUGUCAAGACUUAGGUCAUGUUGGUUACAUCCUGGUCGACCAGUAUGCCGAUAUGAUCAUCAAUGACUUUUGUAACAAACAUCUCAAUAUCUCUGGAGCUUGUCUAUAAAAAAGAUGCUUUCAUGGAUAUACACAUUCUCAAGAAAUACAAUAUAAGCGAAAGUUUGAUUCACAAAGACGUGACUUCCACACACACUUGGGAGAAUGAUAAGGUUCGUUGAGCACGCCACCUGACUAUUAGUGUAUACACAUUUAAAUUUCAUUCAUAUUCUGCCAAAGAUGAAAAAUUCUAAUUUGUAUAGCCUUUUGCAUAUAUUUAAAUUACAUUAUUUAAUCUUCGAAAAUUGGACUCAAAUGUAUACGUUUUUUAUUAUAUACAGUAAUUUAACAAAUAAUUCAAUCAUUAAGAUGUUUACAUAGCACAUGAAUUGACAAUGUAUAUACAUAUACCGACAGGUAGACCUUGAAUCUCGGAGUAUAUACAUUGAGAAUAUAUUUUAGUUUAGGACUAUGGUCAGUUCUGAAGAAUACUAAAUAUUCAUUAUGUAAUUGUGGUGGCUUUAAUAACCUUACAGAGGUUGAGAGGCCUUAAUCCCAACAACAUACAAAAAUCAUUUGAAUCCUGACCAUUUGAAUAGGUUGUUUAUAAUUGUGGUUAAUAUAUAAUUACGAAUAAAGUGCUGGACCUAGAUUCAGGAAGCUCUGUGUAUUUCUUCGUAAGUGGGUUUGCUAUGAAGGUUCCUAAGUGCGCCCUAAGAAGAUGCUUAGGUGC